UGCAUUCUGUGGGUGUUCACCCCUUCCUCCAUCUUCCAACACUUCACUUAUAACAGCCGUCUCCUUUGAACUAGCAUCACUCUUUAUGAGGACCCUGUGAUUAUGCUGAGCCCACCUAGAAUCUCCUCUGGAGAUUCUUAAUCACACCAACAAAAAUCUCUUCUGUCAGUCUACCUGUUCUGAGCAUGUUUAGGAUGAUGGAGAAAAUGAUCUUCUGAGAUCCCUUCUACUGUUAAACUUCUAUGAUUUGAAGACUGAGGAUUGAAUAUUGGUUUAUUAAGCACUGGGUCCUAUUGGGACAGCUCAGUCAUUCCUUGACUUGUUUAAAUUAAGUUUAGGGUAUGGAAAGAUGCUGGAAAGAAUAUGUGAAAAAGGAGGAUAAGAACAAAAGUGAGAAGAGGGGUCUGACCACUGAAAAUCUUUGAUGCCAUACAAAAUGAAUCUCUGUAUUCCAGCUUCCUGAAAAUCUUUAGUAGAAACAGAGAUCCUGGACAUCCUUUUUAGACUUGUUUUCAUUUGUGAAAUGUCUUCAUGCCUAAUAGCAAGCAGAAGAAAACCUUGCUCUCCUCCACUGAGAAGACAAGUUAAGAGCAAAACGACCUAUAAUUUUCACCAGAAACGUAGAAAAGAGGACACCCAGAGUUCCAGAUCUUUGCCAGCCCAUCACUGUGAAAAAGCAAAGUCAACCCAUAAUCCUAUUACCAUUUCAUUUUUCGAGACCUAUAAAACUUUUUCCUUGCUAUCAAUAAUCACCAACAUUUCUAAAUGCUCCAUUUACUAGAUUCCUAAACUUUUUCUAAGACUAAAGAGUAAAUAACAGUAACAUUUAUAGAACAGAAGUCAUUUAAGUAGUUUUCACAAACCAAUUGACUAAAAUUUUAGCUAGAUUUCUAAGAAAUAUCGUAAAGACACUGUAGCAGAUUGUGUUAUUUUCUGUAAAUAUUUGCAGCCCAUCUCUUGGGAAAGAUUAUACUCCCCCACUUCACUGAUGUCAAUCUUGGUCAUAUGACUUGUGAAGAGUGAGCAGAAGUGGCAUGUGCCACUUGCAAGUAGAAAUUUAAGGGCCAUUGCAGUUUGCCAGUUUCUUUUUACUUCUGUGCUAGACCAGAAUAUUCCAGAUAAGGGCUCCAUCAACCAGGGGUCCAGAGCGAAUACAACAUGGAGCAGCACUGGGACCAACCCAGGAGACUAUGUAGAAUAAGUGAGAAGUAAACUUUUGUUCAUGUUAGUCACUGAUAUUGUGGGUCACCUGUUACCACAGGAUAACCUAGGCGAUUGUCCUAAAUGACUAAUUAGAGGAUGUAAAAAUCCUGUUAUAUUCUGCGCCUGGACCUUUUAAUUAUAAAUGAUAUAAAGAUGGCAGUAGCAAAAAAUAACCUCAUUUAUUCAGAAAGAAGCAUUUCAAUGUUUCCUAUAGGUUAAUACAAUUAAGACAGGAUAUAAGACGAAAUUUUGGCUGCACUGAACAACAAAAGUGUUGCAAGGGAUUCAGAAUCCUAAAGAAUUUUUGAGUUAUUUACAGGAUACAAAAGCAUGUAACCAGAGGAUCACAUCCAGAAAUAAUGUUGGCUAUUAUUUAGGGAUUAUCUUUAACCUGGGAAAAUGGGGCACUCACCAUCCUUUUUUCUU